GAUGAAGAACGUAGCGAAAUGCGAUACGUAAUGUGAAUUGCAGAAUUCAGUGAAUCAUCGAAUCUUUGAACGCACAUUGCGCCCGCUGGUAUUCCGGCGGGCAUGCCUGUUCGAGCGUCAUUUCAACCCUCAAGCCCCCGGGUUUGGUGUUGGGGAUCGGCUCUGCCCUUCUGGGCGGUGCCGCCCCCGAAAUACAUUGGCGGUCUCGCUGCAGCCUCCAUUGCGUAGUAGCUAACACCUCGCAACUGGAACGCGGCGCGGCCAUGCCGUUAAACCCCAACUUCUGAAUGUUGACCUCGGAUCAGGUAGGAAUACCCGCUGAACUUAAGCAUAUCAAUAAGCGGAGGA
rnacentral:misc_RNA from 1 species